ACUGAUUAUCCUCAUCUGUAAUUAAAGGCGUGGUCCAAGAGUAACUGCUCUGCUCUGGGAGAAAGCUUACACAGGAUAUAACAGUACAUUGUUUGGGACAAGGACUGUUUUGCUGGACAAUUGAGGAAAUGUUUUCACAAAGAAUCCAAUUCCCUGGUAGCAAGGACUGGCUACUAUCUGAUGCCCUAAAGACUUUGGAGUAAGGUGCAGCUGCUUCUGAGACAGUGUUGGGAAUCUCCAAAGAACUAAAUGGAAGAACAAAGGAAAGCUUGAAAAGGUACAAGAAACUACAAAGCGUAGAAUUGAUGGAAAGCAGUAGCACAGACAAAGAAAGAAUGAUCACAUUGUGCAGCAUCUGCUUGGAUAACAGAAAGUACCCUUAGGAUAUAAAACAUGGGGAACAUUACAAGGUGACAGAUGUAUUAAUGUAGAUGAGCACUGACAGUCCUUUUUCUCGUAUUUCUGCAUGGUAAAUAAGCGCAGCAUAAUUCCUUCUUCAAACAUUUCUUCUGCAUUCUUCCAUCUAUGAAACAUUGCAAGAAUAAAACUUUUGAUUCCAGUGGUGGACAUGCCAAAAUUAUUUUUGUAUUUUUAUCCCUAAAAAUAGAUUUCUUUAUUAGUCUCCCAGAGAGAGAACUGCACUGAUUAGAAGUGAUGAGUGAACCUGUCCCAUUUUUAAAAAAAUGUACAAAACUGCUGAAAAAUUUGCGAAAUGCAUUGAAGUCAAUAGGCGUUUUUUUUUAUAGCUACUGCACAAUUUUUUUUGUGCGUGUGACUUUUUGUUAAGUACGCAACCUUUUUUUUUUUACACACACACUCACUUUUUUUUCUCACUCCAAACACGUUAAAGUCUAUGGGUGAUUUUUCUCCUGCUAAGCAAUUUUUUUUAAUGUGUGCCACUUGUUUACGCAGAUGCUUUUUUUUCUGUAAUUUUUUU